CAGUGAUUGCUAAACUUUCAUAUGUGGAAUAUAUUUAUGCUGCUGUUUAGGCUGUGCUGGCUUCAAUCAAAAGAUCCAAGAAAACCAUGAAUAUUUUGUAUUCAAGUGACACAACACUGGGAAUCUUACCUGUCUUUCAAAGUGGCAUUGGGCUCAUGGGGAACUUAUUGCUAUUCAUUACAUAUAUGUACAUCUUCUUAUUUUGGCCCCAUCAGAAGAACCCCUUAGAUGUGAUUCUCAUGCACCUAACUUUGGCUAAUGUUAUAACAGUUAUCAUCAGGGGUGUUCCAUAUAUAAUGUCAUCCUUCAGACUUAGAAGUACUUUUGUUGAUACUGGUUGUAAAACAGGGCUAUACAUUUAUAAAAUGACAUGGGGCAUUUGUGUAUGUACUUCUUCUCUCCUGAGUACAUUUCAGGCUGUUAUCAUCUGUCCUUGUCAUUCCAAGUGGGCAUGGCUCAAACCUCAAAUCUCCCCAUAAAUUUUCCCUUAUUGAUUUAUUCCUAAACAACAGGCUAAUCAAUAUGUGGGUCAUUAUAAGCACCGUAGCCACCAGCAAAUCCACUAAUGUUGGACUUGUAUAUUCUCUGAUAUACUGUAAAACAAGACUGUUUAUAUACUACCAUGCAAUGAUAUUUCAAAGUGCCAUGUUUACUCAAGGUUUCCUCUUCUUGUUCCUCAUGAUUUGGACUAGUUUCUACAUGGUGACUAUUUUCUUAAGGCAUCAAAAGACGGUCUUUCAUAUUCACAGUAUCAGUCUGUCUCCACAAUCUUUUCCUGAAACAGAAGCCAGUCAUGUUUUCUUCUUGCUGGUGAGCCGCUUUGUUUUCUUUUAUGGGACUAACGUGUGUCUUUCCACUUAUAUUAGCUCCAUGUAUGAGAACAGCCUAAUCCUGGAGAACAUUACUAGUUUUGUUUCAUCUUCCUACCCAAUUAUCUGUACUUUGAUAUUGAUUAAUUAUGAUAAUAAAGUUUCCAGAUUAACCUGUGCCAUUUUAAAUAUGAUUAUUUCCCCCUGCUUACCACACAGCUUUCUAUUGCAUCAAAGAAAUCCUGAUAAAAAUUAUUUUAACCACAAGAGAAUGUGUUUUUAAACUUUCCUGAGUUUAGAAAUUUAGUCCUUUGGCCUGGGAGGUCCAGGCUGCAAUGAGCCAAGAUCACGCCACUGAACUCCAGCCUGGGAGACAGCAAGACCCUGUCUGAA
rnacentral:lncRNA from 1 species